UCUGGACAGCGUUCACGGACUGGUGGACCAGUACCGAGGUCUAUUCCUAAAUUACAAAAUCAUUAUGGACAUGUGGGUAGAAAACGCCUGGCCCGACGACUCCCCAGAGGAAAAGGAGGAAAUCGUCCGCCACAUCUAUAUGCAUGAGUUCCCGUCGAUGAUGGCCAAGCCUCUUCUGUACCUACUGGAAGAUGAGAAUCAGACAUUCUACCAUGCCUAUCCAAGCGGCUACGAGACAAUAUUCGACACGCUUGACAACUUGUCAUCGAUCGAUGAAGUAGAAUCGGCUGCUGACAACGGUAUACAAUGGAAUCUCUUGUUCGAACGAUUACCAAAAGGUGGCAGCAGUACCGAGCGUCCUCCCCUCACACAGGCGCAGAUAGAAAUGGAGGAGGAGGUGUUAUCGACCCACAUAGUUGAUAUGAUGACUGGCUACCCGGAGAAAAAGGGCAAACAGGCGCAGCCAGAAGCUCACCACAGUUAGCAUAGUCUCACUCUCAACAGCUGUCUAAACAGCUAAGGAUCAGGCGGGCGUCAAGGUAUUCCUUGAGUGCAGCAUACAAUAACGUGCCCGCAUCCGUACUGGCAACAGUGAGGCGGUUUCAGCGCAAAUAGAUGACGUCGUAUUUAUAUCAGUCUUGAAAAUAAAUUUGCAGCUAUGUUUGUUUGACAAGC